UUCCUCUCAGGGUCGCACCUGGAGAGUUUCUAGAACUCUACUAGUCCCGACUAUGGGAGGGAGAGUUAAGCAGAGGAAUAUCCAUUCCAUUCCUAGCUUGGGCAGUGUCUAGCAAGUGGAAAGCAAUCUGCUACAAGU